CCCGCCGCCUCCGCCUCCUCUCACGCUUCCCUUCCCCUCGUAGGACCUCCGCUCGCGCUCUCCGCCAGUUCGACCACCGCUGCCCCGCUCUGCAAGGAGGAUGACGCUAGAAGGAGGUGCGGCGACCCUAUUCGAAUCGGGGUGAAGCCAGGGCCGGGAAGGGACAGAGCGACCUACUCAUCAUGCAGUGGGGAGCCAUUGGCCUGCAAGAUGGAGCCGAUGAAGUUGCAGUGGGCUUCAGGAAGGAGGUAAAGAUGGCGGCAUCAUGGUCGACCUGUGACGUGCCUAGGUGCGGAUCGAAUGCAUCCUCCCGCGCGGCUACCCGCGCCUGCCUCCUCCUCCGUCCUGCCCCAUCGUGCCAAGGUCGCUGCGGCUCGGAGCAAUUCCUCCCCAGCUCGCGCCUGGCGGACGUCACUGGUGUAAAAGGUUGAAACUAUUCCAAGGAUUUAGUGAUUUGUAUGGAGAUGUAUGCAAAGAAGACAAUGGUUCAUGUGUGUAUACUUGGAUCACCCCUCCGGUUGCUACAUGUCCCCAGCAAGCAAGUAAUGAUUUGUAUCCUCAAACAGGUCGCUAGCAUCGUGAAUGGUUUAAGGACAAACAUGACUGAUCUGAAGUGAAUGGGAGAUUAGCAGGCGUGUGUAAUAACGAAAUAUCUUCUCACUGUCCGCUACCUAAAGAAGGUCACAUCUGGAUAUUACAUUUUUCAGUAGACGGGGAUUCAGUUGCAUUAGUUAUACAUGGUGCUGAGAAGGUUAUGGAAAUUUGCCUGAAUGAAGAUCUUGAUUUAUUUUGUGGAAUUUAAGCACUUGUGGGGCUUGCCAAACAUUUAACCAUCCAAUCCAAGUUGCAUCUUCUUCGACCAGGCUAUAUCAACAUUGGGGCAGGGAAAUAGGCUCUUAAGAACUUGAACGGGCUUGGUUUAUCCUCCAACAUAUAGGUGAAUCUGUCCCAUGAUGAAACCAAAGAAGGGGGUGUAUUGGUGGAAGUCAGGCUGAAUGAACUAAGAUCCCAAAUCAGUGGACGUGACCACACAAUGGAACAUUGUUCCAUAACCUGGGGACGACCAACUCUUGUAAUGUGCCUACAUAUUCGCAACCUUUUUAAUCUUUCUAACAUCUGUUUCAAAAAAUGCUGGACAAGUUCAUGAUUAAGCUGUGAAGCUAUCCAUCAUUGUUAUCAAAGCCCUGUUGCUGAACCUGAUGUAUUUAUAUCUGAUGCAUGCUUCUGUGUUUUAAACUCAUAUCUGAACUGAUAUAUGAACUCUAAACUUUUACUGAUGAAUGAACUAAGUUCAUGAUUAAGCUGUGAAGCUAUCCAUCAUUGUAAUCAAAGCCCUGUUGCUGAACCUGAUGUAUUUAUAUCUGAUGCAUGCUUCUGUGUUUUAAACUCAUAUCUGAACUGUUAUUGAUGCAUGAACUCUGAAUUGCAACUUUGCAAGGUUGGUCAGAUAAGAGUGUUGAGACCGCUCACAAGUCUUUACGCGUCCAAAGAUUUAUUAGCAAAACAAUAGCACCCUCUGGCUCACUAUAAUAACCGCUUUUGUUUGAACUCACGAGCUUCAGAAGAUUUAUUAGCAAAACAGUAGUACCCUGUGGCUCACUAUAAUAACUGCUUUUGUUUGAUAUUUGAACUGUUUCAGAAAUGGAUCCAACCUUCUAAGAAGCUGACGAGUAACCCAAUCACAAUUCUUGUGGAUGGCUUCAUAGGGAGAAUAAAUGAAAAAUUAUAGUUUCCCCUCUUUUAUUUGUAUCUUACAGUUCAGUACAAUGACAGCAUUUUGUAUUUCCAUUGUACCAAACCAUGGAGUAAACUUGACCUGGAGAUGAUGGAUGACUCUUGUCUAAAUUUUGUAGUAUUGGAUUUUAGCA